rnacentral:lncRNA from 1 species
AUUCUGAUUGACAUGAUGAAAUGCAAUGUAUCUAAUGUUAAAUGACCUAAAAAUGAAUGCAUGCAUGAGGUGUAAAGCAUAUGCUUCCAGGAAAAAUGAAGGGUAAAUUUUGGGGUAUUAAUCUAAUUCUGAUUGACAUGAUGAAAUGCAAUGUAUCUAAUGUUAAAUGACCUAAAAAUGAAUGCAUGCAUGAGGUGUAAAGCAUAUGCUUCCAGGAAAAAUGAAGGGUAAAUUUUGGGGUAUU